GGGGGCAGGUAGGAAAAACAAAGGAAGGCAGGACGUGAAGCAGGGUGGUGCCUGGAACAGCCCCCCCAAGUUGAUUCCUAUUGAGUAAGCCCCGAGUCCAUUAGCCCAAAUAACAUCCAGGUGCUGCUGUGGCUGUGGUGGCUUUUUUCACCCGGGUGUAAACGACCUGCUCCUUUUCAUGCUGCAACACAGGAGGCCGGGAAACGGGCCAGACGAGCCCGGCGUCGACCCGAGCCGUUCCCCCGUCUUCCUGAUGCCCCGCGACACCCAAGUCCCGUCUGGCGCCCGCUCGGUUCUGGAGGACCCGCUCGGUUCUGGAGGGCCCGCUCGGCCCGGCGGGUAAGACCUCCCUCCGCGAAGCGCUCCCUUCCCACAUCUGAGGGGCCCUGAGCUCACACCAAAACACUCCGGGUUUAAUGAGGGAUCGGAGAGAGAGAGAGAGAGAGAGAGAGAGAGAGAGAGAGAGAGAGAGAGAGGCGCAGAAAGAAUGUUUGGCAGGAAAAAAGGUGGAGGGAUUUUUCAAAAGAGCCACAGUGGAUUUAUUUGACGGAGAGAGAAAGGAGAGCAAGGGGGAGGCGAGAGACGUUCUGGACGUGGAGACAAAUAUGUGCACACGGAACCACAUUACACCCAUGUUACCUCUCAUUACCUCCAAAUAAGCAGCACUGCACCACAGCUGGCUGCUGUCUCUCAGUAAUGACCACUCUACUACAAAUGAGUGGCCGUAGCCAAGCCCAGUCUCUCUGGCCAUUAGGCCUGAACUGUGAGUCCAGGGUCCGACUGAGAUGUCAUUACACGGCGUUUGAGCCCACUAUUCAUGCAGGCCAUAAAGUCCCCUCCAUUCCUAUUCUCUGAGUUGUGAAGUGAAUGUAAGUACUGUAGAUUACAUCAAUCUGGUUGCAAAGUGCAAGAGCAAUGCAUUAGAGACCUUAGAAUCAGGGGAACCUUUUUUUGUGGAGGACACGCUAAGGUGUGACUGGUGCUGACGCGGGUACGCUGCAUUUGGAGCUUGAGGAGCGCAUGCAAAUGAAUGAUUUAUUAAAAGUUAUUAAAUGUCCCUCUGCCUUCCCUGUGUUAGAAAAUGACUUGAUGAGCUCAUCUGGAGGCGCCCACCAGCUCAGGCCAUGCCAUCUACUGUAGCUGCUCCAGGGAGGUCUGGCUGUUCCAAAGCUCUCACUAGUACAGUACAUAAAUUCAAACAUCAUUUCUUCCAGGAAAUAAUGAAAAAUAUUUGCUCCGUGCGCUUCAGGUCAUCCAACAACUCAGUGAAAACAGUGACUGAUGACAGCAGCCUCGACAUACACUAGAAGUAUUUCUACCUGCUCUCAAAGUAUGUGAGCGAGUCCUGCGUGGAGGGCUUUGCGUGUGUGCUCAGGUGACUGUACAUACAGUAAUUUGGAGGCGCUCCAUCACUCGGCUCCUCGCUGCCGCCCUGACGCCUGCAGAGCUCCAUUCACCGUGCGUGUCAAAACAAGCAGCGCCGUCCUCGCGGGUAACGAUCCUUUGCGCCGCCUUUCUCUCUUCCCCCCGGUGUUUGCGGCCGAGCUUCGCCCCCGCGUCGACCCCCGGGAGGACGCGUUGGGGAGAAACCAGGCAGACGCUCGGAUGUGGCGUGUUGACGUGAUGCGGGACCGGCUGGAGGUCGAGGUGCGGCGGCCUCAACUCGCCGUCCUGAGGUUUACAGCCUUAAAACAGCCUGACAGACGAACAAAGCCCACGCUCUGAUCGCUGAGCGCUCUGAUGACUGGGUGCAUGUCAUCCAUAGGAACUGAUCUCAUGUAUGUUUGCAGUGUCAGUGAUCCUCUGCACUGUACCCUAUAGUUGAGCCCACUACAAUGUUGAGCAUUGUUGAAGGAGUGUGUGGAAUCUGUGCAGCCCUAUCGCCACUGUGCGUCACUUAGUGGAUCGCUUUUAGAGCUUUUUGAGCGAAAUGUGCGGAGGAACGCACAGUUUUAGCGGUUCGUGCUUGUUGUGUGCAUAAAAUCGAUCUCCACCUGGACGCCUGCAGGACGUUACAGCUGGGGAGAAAUAUUAUUUACGGCCGGUUUGACAGAAGCUCAUACAGGAACUGUACACACGGAAGCCAACUCUAAGUACUUGGCAUAAACACGCGGAGAGAAUAAAUCCCAGUUCAAAAUAGCUCCUUAACAUUAUAGUGAGUUCAUUUUGAUUGUGUGGAGCACAAAACAAAUGUACCAACCAGCGCCCCUGUGUGAUCUGUCAAAAGCCGGUCCAGGAGGGCUGGUGACUGUCGUCAUGGCCAACCCUAAAUCCUUCCAUUUUCCCAUCAUUGCUAUUACACAAAGAGAAAGCGACAGAUCAGCGAACGCCAAGCGUGUAUUGACAGGUCAUAUUAGUUUUUGGCAAAAACUCGAGUCAUUUCUGGAAUGGCAGCACGGCCCCAGGGCUGGGCCUGAAUAGCAGGUGAUCAUCACAUUAGGCGUCUAAUUUUCUUCAGGCUAACGUUCAAUUACAGGUGGAAAACGUGUUGUGUCCCACUUCCAGUGCCACAUUCUCAUGCGAUAUCAGUCGGAAUGCUUCAAAAGGCCCGGCUGCAGGAUUUCAACAUGGAUUUCAUCACCUCCACUGGGAAUGAUGGGCUUCUUAGCGAACUCUUGCUUCUUCUGGACUCGUUUGGACCCACGGACUUCAGAAGCACCACCACCUUGUCUUGGCUGGCUGCGACUCUCAAACUGGCAGGACGGGAGUCUCUGGCUUGCAGCUAAUAGGCUGAAAAACAGCCAAGCCCACCCACACCUGACAAUCCCAAAUAACAUCCAGCAGAGGAAACCAGAAGGCCACAUUAGCAGAACGGGGACUUGCUCUUUUGAUUUUUACACACUCCUGAAAAGACCGAGUUCGCUCCACAAGUUUGCUGCAGAGUCUGUUUUGUCUAACGCUACCAAACAUCAUAGCGUGUGUCAGUCUGGCUCACGAGUGAAGAAAGUGCUGAUUCACAGACAGUUUCCAGAGAAGUGAAUCCAAGAAGAACUCAAACAUAAGGACUCCAGUCAGAAGAGUAGGAGAAGGAGGAGGAACAGGACCUUGAAUAAACUCUACUACGGUGCAACAUCUGUACACAAAGGGAAUGAGCGCAUCAUUGUCUUCGUAGUUUCUAUUCGGACUCUGUGGUAGAUGCAGGUCAGUGGAGAUGCACAGUGUCACAUCGACUGAUGGUCGCGCUGCUUCCUGCUGCUUCCUCUUCUCAGUUUCAUCAGCCCCUGCCAAAGGAGGAAUACCCUCUCAGAUGUCAAGUCAGAUCAGCGCUGUGGAAAACCGCACGGGCUCCAUGAGGCAAUUUGUCACAUUUGCAACAUGUGGCACCCCACCAGCUGCAGAGACAUUUAUUAUUGCCCUGAUUGGCCCUCAUUAGGAGAGCAAUAACAUGAGUCUCCACAGUCCCACUCAUCAUACACAGAUUGCAUUUUCCUUUUUUAUUGUUACAUUCAAUUGUUGGCUCCGGGGAUUACAAUCAUUUUUGCGCCGCAAUGACUUCCACGCUUUGAAAAAAGGAACAAAAGCACUUUAAUUGCCAAGACAAAUAAAUGUACAGGAAUUUGUCUUGGCGCUAUUAGUGCAGAGACAGAUGGACGAUAUACAGAGUUUAGGAGAACCCACUGACAGACAUAAAGCAGAGAACGGACAAUCAGA